rnacentral:rRNA from 1 species
GCCUAAUACUGCAAGUCGAACGCACAGCGAAAGGUGCUUGCACCUUUCAAGUGAGUGGCGAACGGGUGAGUAACACGUGGACAACCUGCCUCAAGGCUGGGGAUAACAUUUGGAAACAGAUGCUAAUACCGAAUAAAACUUAGUGUCGCAUGACACAAAGUUAAAAGGCGCUUCGGCGUCACCUAGAGAUGGAUCCGCGGUGCAUUAGUUAGUUGGUGGGGUAAAGGCCUACCAAGACAAUGAUGCAUAGCCGAGUUGAGAGACUGAUCGGCCACAUUGGGACUGAGACACGGCCCAAACUCCUACGGGAGGCUGCAGUAGGGAAUCUUCCACAAUGGGCGAAAGCCUGAUGGAGCAACGCCGCGUGUGUGAUGAAGGCUUUCGGGUCGUAAAGCACUGUUGUAUGGGAAGAACAGCUAGAAUAGGAAAUGAUUUUAGUUUGACGGUACCAUACCAGAAAGGGACGGCUAAAUACGUGCCAGCAGCCGCGGUAAUACGUAUGUCCCGAGCGUUAUCCGGAUUUAUUGGGCGUAAAGCGAGCGCAGACGGUUUAUUAAGUCUGAUGUGAAAGCCCGGAGCUCAACUCCGGAAUGGCAUUGGAAACUGGUUAACUUGAGUGCAGAGGUAAGUGGAACUCCAUGUGUAGCGGUGGAAUGCGUAGAUAUAUGGAAGAACACCAGUGGCGAAGGCGGCUUACUGGACUGCAACUGACGUUGAGGCUCGAAAGUGUGGGUAGCAAACA